rnacentral:rRNA from 1 species
UACGUAGGGUGCGAGCGUUAAUCGGAAUUACUGGGCGUAAAGCGUGCGCAGGCGGUUUUGUAAGACGGAUGUGAAAUCCCCGGGCUCAACCUGGGAACUGCAUUUGUGACUGCAAGGCUAGAGUACGGCAGAGGGGGGUAGAAUUCCACGUGUAGCAGUGAAAUGCGUAGAUAUGUGGAGGAAUACCGAUGGCGAAGGCAGCCCCCUGGGUCGAUACUGACGCUCAUGCACGAAAGCGUGGGGAGCAAACAGG